GAUGAAGAACGUAGCGAAAUGCGAUAAGUAAUGUGAAUUGCAGAAUUCAGUGAAUCAUCGAAUCUUUGAACGCACCUUGCGCCCUUUGGCUAUUCCGAAGGGCAUGCCUGUUUGAGUAUCAUGAACACCUCAACUCUCAUGGUUUGCCAUGAUGAGCUUGGACUCUGGGGGUCUUGCUGGCUUAUGGUCAGCUCCUCUUAAAUGAAUCAGCUUUCCAGUGUUUGGUGGCAUCACAGGUGUGAUAACUAUCUACGCUUGUGGUGUCCUCCCAGGUAACCUUCAGCAAUGGAGGUUGCUGGAGCUAAUAAAUGCACAUCUCUCAUUGUUGAGAUGGCCUUUUAGAUGUUUGAUCUCAAAUCAGGUAGGACUACCCGCUGAACUUAAGCAUAUCAAUAAGCGGAGGA
rnacentral:misc_RNA from 1 species